GGGAUUUGGCGGAAAGUAGUGGGAAGAUUGGCACUUGCCUUACAAGCAAGGGGUCGGUGGUUCAAAUCCAACCAUCGCCCACCA
rnacentral:tRNA from 1 species